rnacentral:rRNA from 1 species
CUGGCGGCGUGCCUAACACAUGCAAGUCGAACGAGGAAGGUGCUUCGGCACCCGAGUAAGUGGCGCACGGGUGAGUAACGCGUAGGCAACCUACCCUGUAUUGGGAUAACAGAGCGAAGCGCUGCUAAUACCGGAUACGAUCCAUAGGCGGGAGUUUAUGGAUGAAAGUCAGCCUCUCGGAGAAGCUGGUGUACGGGGAUGGGCCUGCGUCCUAUCAGCUAGUUGGUGAGGUAACGGCUCACCAAGGCGACGACGGGUAGCUGGUCUGAGAGGAUGAUCAGCCACACUGGCACUGGAACACGGGCCAGACUCCUACGGGAGGCAGCAGUGAGGAAUUUUGCGCAAUGGCCGCAAGGCUGACGCAGCAACGCCGCGUGGGUGAAGAAGGCCUUCGGGUCAUAAAGCCCUGUCAGGUGGGAAGAAGUGCUUGGGGUAAAUAGCCCUUGAGUUUGACGGUACCACCAGAGGAAGCACCGGCUAACUCCGUGCCAGCCGCCGC